AAAAUUAAGAGUGAGAACUGAGAAAAAGCCAUUGGAUUUGAUGGUUAAGGAAAGUUGGGCCGAUUUCCACCUAUGAUGCAUCAUCACCAGGCACCCUCAGAUGGCCAGACUCCUGGGGCUCGUUUCCAGAGGUCUCACCUUGCAGAGGCAUUUGCAAAGGCCAAAGGAUCAGGUGGAGGCGCUGGAGGAGGAAGUAGUGGAAGAGGCCUGAUGGGGCAGAUUAUUCCAAUCUACGGCUUUGGGAUUUUUUUAUAUAUACUGUACAUUCUAUUUAAGCUCUCAAAGGGGAAAACAACUGCAGAAGAUGGGAAAUGUUCCACUGCCACGCCUGGAAACACCCACAGGAAAAUUACCAGUUUUGAGCUUGCUCAACUGCAAGAAAAACUGAAGGAGACAGAAGCAGCCAUGGAAAAAUUAAUCAACAGAGUGGGACCUAAUGGUGAGAGAGCACAGACUGUGACUUCUGACCAAGAGAAACAGUUGCUGCAUCAGCUCCGAGAAAUCACCAGGGUCAUGAAAGAAGGAAAAUUCAUUGACAGAUUUUCUCCAGAGAAAGAAGCCGAGGAGGCCCCUUACAUGGAGGACUGGGAAGGUUACCCUGAAGAGACUUACCCAAUUUAUGACCUUUCAGACUGUAUCAAGCGUAGGCAAAAAACAAUCUUGGUGGAUUACCCUGACCCAAAAGAGCUUUCUGCUGAAGAAAUAGCUGAAAGAAUCGGAGUGAUAGAAGAGGAAGAAUCAGACCAUUUGGGUUGGGAAGGUCUGCCCACUGACCCCAGAGCCCAUGAAGAUAAUUCUGUUACCUCGUGUGAUCCAAAGCCAGAAACAUGUUCCUGCUGUUUUCAUGAAGAUGAGGAUCCUGCUGUCUUGGCAGAGAAUGCUGGAUUCAAUGCAGAUAGCUACCCUGAGCAAGAGGAAAUCACCAAAGAAGAAUGGCCCCAAGACUUUAGAGAUGAAGGGCUGGGCAUCAGCACCGAUCAAGCAUAUACAGGCAGCAUACUGAGGAGGCGUAACCCCCAGGGUUUAGAGUGAAAACAGCCAGUUUGAAGUAUCCAUUACUCAAGUCCCAAGAUGGGACCACUCAGGGGCAAAGGUCUGACUCUUCCUGGUAGGUGUAACAGAUAGCUUGCCUGUGAUUGAACAUCAGCUUACAGAUGAUGAGGACUUAAGGUUGCAAGAAUGAAGAUUUCAGACUCCAGGAUGCCUUAUCUUUGGCCCUUGAGCAGAAUAUCCUGUAUACGCUAUUUCCCGCCAGAGGCAGAGGCCACAGGAGAUAGGCCAUGUUCAGCGGCGCCACCCUGGCCCCCUGCUGUGGCUGCUGCCUUGGUUCUCGCAGCUGAAGCUGGUGCUGUCGGGCGUGUGGCUCCCAGCUGUACACUGGCGAGUGAGUCGGCCUCUUGAACUGCUCAGAAGACAACCCCAGACAGAGAGAAACAGGUGCUGGGUGAGACCAGAGCUCCCAUCUGAACACAGUACCCAGCACAGCAUUUUCAGCCAUACCCUGAGUCCCACCAGGGCCCCUGUACCCCUUCCACAGCCCAUAGAAUCAGGCCCACUCAUCUCUACUAAGCAAAGAUCCCAGGGCAGGCCCAGCUGGGAGGAGGCAGCGUCCCCAACCCAGGUGUGAUCAAGUCAACAGCCAGAUCAAGACAUACGAUCAGCCAAGAAGCUGAGCAAUCAAAAUUCUGGGCUAUCAAACUGUAAGCCUGGACAGGGGCAGGGAGAAUGUCCAAGGAUAUGGCCAUUGAAGAUGGUGAAGAAAGAGAGGCAGUGUCUUCUGGAAGAGACCACAACCAGGGCACGCACUCCAGGGAGUCCAUGGUGGGGCUUUUCGGCGAUGAGCACAUGGGAGGCUGGGGUGUGGGAGUGCCCAGAACAGCAACUCUGGGAGACAAGGAGCUACACACACCAACAGGUCUCAGAAGGGUCCCAGCUGGUAGCCUCCGAAUUCUCCAUACUGCAGAAACCCAAUCUGCUCGAAAUCCUUGAAUGGUUUCCAGCUGCUCUUAAGAUGAAGACCAACAUUCUCUCCCUUCCCCUAGGUUUAAACACAUACUCCCUGCCUCGGGGGCACCAAGAGUUCCAGCCACACCAGCCUGGUCCAAUGCCUCCGCCAGGCACCGCACUUGCUCUUGCCUCGGGGCUCUUGCUCCUCCUGCUGCCUGCACAGCCCCCCACCCCACACCCAGUGAUCAGCUCCCAGUCAUCCUGCAGAUUUCAGCUUGGGUGUCACCUCCCAAGGGAAGCUGUGCCUGCCUCCCUAGUCGGAGCAGGUGUUUUCGUGGCUUCCUUCCACAAAGCACACCUGAGACCGUCUGUUUAGCAUUCUCUCCCCACAUAGACUGUGAGGCCCAUGAAAACAGGGAUCACACCCAUUUGUGCUCACUUGGGACUUACGGCUUCUAAUCCAGAGCCUGACACAAAGCUCAAUAAAUAUUUAA